GAAACUUGCCCCGAGAUGAGUUCUCCCUGAGACUUUAGGUCUCCUGAAGGAACGUUGAAGACGACGACGUUGAUAGGCCGGGUGUGUAAGCGCAGCGAUGCGUUGAGCUAACCGGUACUAAUGAACCGUGAGGCUUAACCUU
rnacentral:rRNA from 1 species